rnacentral:rRNA from 1 species
UACGUAGGGGGCAAGCGUUGUCCGGAUUCAUUGGGCGUAAAGAGCGUGUAGGCGGCCAGGUAGGUCGGUUGUGAAAACUGGAGGCUUAACCUCCAGACGUCGACGGAAACCGCGCGGCUAGAGUCCGGAAGAGGAGAGUGGAAUUCCUGGUGUAGCGGUGAAAUGCGCAGAUAUCAGGAAGAACACCAAUGGCGAAGGCAGCUCUCUGGGACGGUACUGACGCUGAGACGCGAAAGCGUGGGGAGCGAACAGG